AGGGAUCUAUGUAAGAGUACAUGCUACUCUACGCUCCUAAAAUAGAGAGAGAGAGGAGAGAGAGAGUUAGAGAGAGAAAGAGAUUGUGCGCCGUCCAUAGAGAGAGUUUGUGCGGUCCAUAGAGGGAGAGAGAGUUUGUGCGCCGUCCAUAGAGAGAGAGAGUUGGUGCGCCGUCCAUAGAGAGAGAGAGCCGCCCAUAGAGAGAGUUUGUGCACCGUCCAUAGAGAGAGAGUGUGUAGAUCGUAGUUUACGCUCAUAUAGAGAGUAGCAUGCACGUUUCAGGCCGGAAUACCUCGACUUAGCUGUAUCUCCCAUCACCUUACCUUUGAGAGAGGGGUUUUAUUAGAGAGAGAAAAAAGGCCGGGUUUUAGAGCGAGAGAAAAAGGGUCCAUGGCGAGAGAAAAAAAGGUGGAGUUUUAGAGAGAGAAGGUGGAGUUUUUGGGCAGAAUGGUAUAUACUUCUCUUUUUUCCACAAUUUAGGCUGAACCAUAACCCAAUUCCUGAUAAAAAUAAGGAAAAGAGGCGAGUCUGUUAAAUUCUCGUUUAAAUGUGCUCUCACUUCACUCCUGAGCGUUUCAGAUCUUGGGCUUUUUUGGACAGGCGAUUGUGGCAGUCUCUCUCUCGUCGAUCACUUUGAAACCGCAUGGACUCCCUCUAUCUUUUCUUCAAUUACGUCAAUCAUGUGCUGAAUCUUCUGCUUCUC
rnacentral:lncRNA from 1 species